rnacentral:rRNA from 1 species
UACGUAGGGUGCGAGCGUUGUCCGGAAUUACUGGGCGUAAAGAGCUCGUAGGUGGUUUGUCGCGUUGUUCGUGAAAACUCACAGCUUAACUGUGGGCGUGCGGGCGAUACGGGCAGACUAGAGUACUGCAGGGGAGACUGGAAUUCCUGGUGUAGCGGUGGAAUGCGCAGAUAUCUGGAGGAAUACCGGUGGCGAAGGCGGCAUCCUGGACCGACAUUGACGCUGAACGGCGAAAGCUAGGGGAGCAAACGGG